CCUAACACAUGCAAGUCGAACGAGAGAUGAGGAGCUUGCUCUUCAAAUCGAGUGGCGAACGGGUGAGUAACGCGUGAGGAACCUGCCUCAAAGAGGGGGACAACAGUUGGAAACGACUGCUAAUACCGCAUAAGCCCACGGCUCGGCAUCGAGCAGAGGGAAAAGGAGCAAUCCGCUUUGAGAUGGCCUCGCGUCCGAUUAGUUAGUUGGUGAGGUAACGGCCCACCAAGGCGACGAUCGGUAGCCGGACUGAGAGGUUGAACGGCCACAUUGGGACUGAGACACGGCCCAGACUCCUACGGGAGGCAGCAGUGGGGAAUAUUGCACAAUGGGGGAAACCCUGAUGCAGCGACGCCGCGUGGAGGAAGAAGGUCUUCGGAUUGUAAACUCCUGUUGUUGAGGAAGAUAAUGACGGUACUCAACAAGGAAGUGACGGCUAACUACGUGCCAGCAGCCGCGGUAAAACGUAGGUCACAAGCGUUGUCCGGAAUUACUGGGUGUAAAGGGAGCGCAGGCGGGAGAACAAGUUGGAAGUGAAAUCCAUGGGCUCAACCCAUGAACUGCUUUCAAAACUGUUUUUCUUGAGUAGUGCAGAGGUAGGCGGAAUUCCCGGUGUAGCGGUGGAAUGCGUAGAUAUCGGGAGGAACACCAGUGGCGAAGGCGGCCUACUGGGCACCAACUGACGCUGAGGCUCGAAAGUGUGGGUAGCAAACAGGAUUAGAUACCCUGGUAGUCCACACCGUAAACGAUGAUUACUAGGUGUUGGAGGAUUGACCCCUUCAGUGCCGCAGUUAACACAAUAAGUAAUCCACCUGGGGAGUACGACCGCAAGGUUGCAACUCAAAGGAAUUGACGGCGCGGCGC
rnacentral:rRNA from 1 species